AUAUGCCUUUACGUGGGGGACAACAGUUGGAAACGACUGCUAAUACCGCAUAAUGUCUUCGGACCAAAGGAGGGGACGCUUCGGCACCUUUCGCGUAUUGAUUAGCCCAAGUGGGAUUAGCUAGUUGGUAAGGUAAUGGCUUACCAAGGCGACGAUCCCUAGCUGGUUUGAGAGGAUGAUCAGCCACACUGGGACUGAGACACGGCCCAGACUCCUACGGGAGGCAGCAGUGGGGAAUAUUGCACAAUGGGCGAAAGCCUGAUGCAGCCAUGCCGCGUGUGUGAAGAAGGCCUUCGGGUUGUAAAGCACUUUCAGUUGUGAGGAAGAAUUAAGGGUUAAUACCCCUUGUCUUUGACGUUAGCAACAGAAGAAGGACCGGCUAACUCCGUGCCAGCAGCCGCGGUAAUACGGAGGGUCCGAGCGUUAAUCGGAAUUACUGGGCGUAAAGCGUACGCAGGCGGCUUUUUAAGCCAGAUGUGAAAUCCCCGGGCUCAACCUGGGAAUGGCAUUUGGAACUGGGAAGCUAGAGUUUUGUAGAGGGUGGUAGAAUUUCAGGUGUAGCGGUGAAAUGCGUAGAGAUCUGAAGGAAUACCAGUGGCGAAGGCGGCCACCUGGACAAAAACUGACGCUCAUGUACGAAAGCGUGGGGAGCAAACAG
rnacentral:rRNA from 1 species